AGUGAACGCUGGCGGUUGGCCUAACACAUGCAAGUCGAACGGCAGCACAGUAAGAGCUUGCUCUUACGGGUGGCGAGUGGCGGACGGGUGAGGAAUACAUCGGAAUCUACUUUUUCGUGGGGGAUAACGUAGGGAAACUUACGCUAAUACCGCAUACGACCUACGGGUGAAAGCAGGGGAUCUUCGGACCUUGCGCGAUUGAAUGAGCCGAUGUCGGAUUAGCUAGUUGGCGGGGUAAAGGCCCACCAAGGCGACGAUCCGUAGCUGGUCUGAGAGGAUGAUCAGCCACACUGGAACUGGGACACGGUCCAGACUCCUACGGGAGGCAGCAGUGGGGAAUAUUGGACAAAGGGCGCAAGCCUGAUCCAGCCAUACCGCGUGGGUGAAGAAGGCCUUCGGGUUGUAAAGCCCUUUUGUUGGGAAAGAAAAGCAGCAGGUUAAUACCCCGCUGUUCUGACGGUACCCAAAGAAUAAGCACCGGCUAACUUCGUG
rnacentral:rRNA from 1 species